rnacentral:rRNA from 1 species
AGAGUUGAUUAUGGCUCAGGACAAACGCUGGCGGCACGCUUAACACAUGCAAGUCGAACGGUGAAGUAACUUCGGUUAUGGAACAGUGGCGGACGGGUGAGUAACACGUGAGCAAUCUGCCUUUAAGUGGGGAAUAACGAUUGGAAACGAUCGGUAAUACCGCAUAAUAUACAUAAGCCGCAUGACGUAUGUAUCAAAGAUUUAUCGCUUAAAGAUGAGCUCGCGUCUGAUUAGAUAGUUGGUGAGGUAACGGCUCACCAAGUCGACGAUCAGUAGCCGGACUGAGAGGUUGAACGGCCACAUUGGGACUGAGACACGGCCCAGACUCCUACGGGAGGCAGCAGUGGGGAAUAUUGCACAAUGGAGGAAACUCUGAUGCCAGCGAUGCCGCGUGAGGGAAGAAGGUUUUCGGAUUGUAAACCUCUGUUGACAGGGACGAUAAUGACGGUACCUGUUCAGAAAGCUCCGGCUAACUACGUGCCAGCAGCGGC